rnacentral:tRNA from 1 species
AAUUUCUUAUUUUAAUUUUUAAAAUAUUAUUUUUACAAGAUAAAGAUUAGGAAAUUU